GCUACGGGUGGCUGCAGUGGGGAAUAUUGGACAAUGGGCGCAAGCCUGAUCCAGCCAUGCCGCGUGAGUGAUGAAGGCCCUAGGGUUGUAAAGCUCUUUUGGCGGGGAAGAUAAUGACGGUACCCGCAGAAUAAGCCCCGGCUAACUUCGUGCCAGCAGCCGCGGUAAUACGAAGGGGGCUAGCGUUGCUCGGAAUCACUGGGCGUAAAGCGCACGUAGGCGGAUUCUUAAGUCAGAGGUGAAAGCCUGGAGCUCAACUCCAGAACUGCCUUUGAUACUGGGAGUCUCGCGUUCGGGAGAGGUGAGUGGAACUGCGAGUGUAGAGGUGAAAUUCGUAGAUAUUCGCAAGAACACCAGUGGCGAAGGCGGCUCACUGGCCCGAUACUGACGCUGAGGUGCGAAAGCGUGGGGAGCAAACAGGAUUAGAUACCCCAGUAGUC
rnacentral:rRNA from 1 species